AUUGAACGCUGGCGGCAGGCCUAACACAUGCAAGUCGAACGGUAACAGGAAGCAGCUUGCUGCUUUGCUGACGAGUGGCGGACGGGUGAGUAAUGUCUGGGAAACUGCCUGAUGGAGGGGGAUAACUACUGGAAACGGUAGCUAAUACCGCAUAACGUCGCAAGACCAAAGAGGGGGACCUUCGGGCCUCUUGCCAUCGGAUGUGCCCAGAUGGGAUUAGCUAGUAGGUGGGGUAACGGCUCACCUAGGCGACGAUCCCUAGCUGGUCUGAGAGGAUAACAAGCCACACUGGAGCUGAGAGACGGUCCAGACUCCUACGGGAGGCAGCAGUGGGGAAUAUUGCACAAUGGGCGCAAGCCUGAUGCAGCCAUGCCGCGUGUAUGAAGAAGGCCUUCGGGUUGUAAAGUACUUUCAGCGGGGAGGAAGGCGACAGGGUUAAUAACCCUGUCGAUUGACGUUACCCGCAGAAGAAGCACCGGCUAACUCCGUGCCAGCCGCCGCCGUAA
rnacentral:rRNA from 1 species